rnacentral:lncRNA from 1 species
CAUAAACAACCACAGAACCACAAGUUGGGUAGGCUGGCAGUGUCAGAAGUCUGAGCCCGGCAUAGUGGUCAGCAGGCAGGACGAAUCACACUGAAUGCAAACCACAGGGUUUCGCAGAGUGGUGAGCAUCCUCAACCCACAGCCAAAGCGGCGCUUUUUUUCCCCCCUUCUUAAUCUUUAACAAUUUGAAUAUUUGUUUUCGCGAAGGUACAUUUUUCAUAGGGCUUGGGGAGUCCCAGUGGUGUGGAGGGGGAGGAAAAAGAGAUGCAAGGAGCCAUGGGCAGAGGUGAGGUUGAAACAGUGACCUUUCUUGGUUUUCGCUCUUAAGGUAAAUCAUUGAAUCCCCUGCCUUCAGAAGAGGGUACAUUUUCAGAAGGAAGCGAUGGCUUCAGACAGCAUAUUUGAGUCAUUU